UUGCAAUGAUGACAAUCUUAGGACACCUUUGGAUUAACCGUGAAAAUAAUGUGUGUCUGAGCUUC